rnacentral:rRNA from 1 species
AACGUAGGUGGCAAGCGUUAUCCGGAUUUACUGGGCGUAAAGCGCGGGCAGGCGGUCGGUCAAGUCUGAUGUGAAAUCUCUCCGCUCAACGGGGAGCAGCCAUUGGAAACUGGGCGACUGGAGUCUGACAGAGGUAGGCGGAAUUCCGGGUGGAGUGGUGAAAUGCGUAGAGAUCCGGAGGAACACCAGAGGCGAAGGCGGCCUACUGGGUCAGUACUGACGCUGAGCCGCGAAAGCCAGGGGAGCGAACGGG